UGCGGGUUGGCCGAGUGGUUUUAGGCGCUGGACUUUGAAUCCAGUUACAAAUGUUCAAUUCAUUUACCCGCUG
rnacentral:tRNA from 1 species